GACGAACGCUGGCGGCGUGCUUAACACAUGCAAGUCGAACGGAAAGGCCCUGCUUUUGUGGGGUGCUCGAGUGGCGAACGGGUGAGUAACACGUGAGUAACCUGCCCUUGACUUUGGGAUAACUUCAGGAAACUGGGGCUAAUACCGGAUAGGAGCUCCUGCUGCAUGGUGGGGGUUGGAAAGUUUCGGCGGUUGGGGAUGGACUCGCGGCUUAUCAGCUUGUUGGUGGGGUAGUGGCUUACCAAGGCUUUGACGGGUAGCCGGCCUGAGAGGGUGACCGGCCACAUUGGGACUGAGAUACGGCCCAGACUCCUACGGGAGGCAGCAGUGGGGAAUAUUGCACAAUGGGCGGAAGCCUGAUGCAGCAACGCCGCGUGCGGGAUGACGGCCUUCGGGUUGUAAACCGCUUUCGCCUGUGACGAAGCGUGAGUGACGGUAAUGGGUAAAGAAGCACCGGCUAACUACGUGCCAGCAGCCGCGGUGAUACGUAGGGUGCGAGCGUUGUCCGGAUUUAUUGGGCGUAAAGGGCUCGUAGGUGGUUGAUCGCGUCGGAAGUGUAAUCUUGGGGCUUAACCCUGAGCGUGCUUUCGAUACGGGUUGACUUGAGGAAGGUAGGGGAGAAUGGAAUUCCUGGUGGAGCGGUGGAAUGCGCAGAUAUCAGGAGGAACACCAGUGGCGAAGGCGGUUCUCUGGGCCUUUCCUGACGCUGAGGAGCGAAAGCGUGGGGAGCGAACAGGCUUAGAUACCCUGGUAGUCCACGCUGUAAACGGUGGGUACUAGGUGUGGGGUCCAUUCCACGGGUUCCGUGCCGUAGCUAGCGCUUUAAGUACCCCGCCUGGGGAGUACGGCCGCAAGGCUAAAACUCAAAGGAAUUGACGGGGCCCCGCACAAGCGGCGGAGCAUGCGGAUUAAUUCGAUGCAACGCGUAGAACCUUACCUGGGUUUGACAUGGAUCGGGAGUGCUCAGAGAUGGGUGUGCCUCUUUUGGGGUCGGUUCACAGGUGGUGCAUGGCUGUCGUCAGCUCGUGUCGUGAGAUGUUGGGUUAAGUCCCGCAACGAGCGCAACCCUUGUUCACUGUUGCCAGCACGUUAUGGUGGGGACUCAGUGGAGACCGCCGGGGUCAACUCGGAGGAAGGUGGGGAUGACGUCAAGUCAUCAUGCCCCUUAUGUCCAGGGCUUCACGCAUGCUACAAUGGCUGGUACAGAGAGUGGCGAGCCUGUGAGGGUGAGCGAAUCUCGGAAAGCCGGUCUCAGUUCGGAUUGGGGUCUGCAACUCGACCUCAUGAAGUCGGAGUCGCUAGUAAUCGCAGAUCAGCAACGCUGCGGUGAAUACGUUCCCGGG
rnacentral:rRNA from 1 species